rnacentral:rRNA from 1 species
AGAUUGUGGGCUGAAACCCGCCCACAUGAAGUCGGAGUUGCUAGUAAUCCCGAAUCAGCAUGUCGGGGUGAAUGCGUUCCCGGGUCUUGUACACACCGCCCGUCACGCCAUGGGAGUUGGGAGUACCCAAAGUCGGCGACCUAACCGCAAGGAAGGAACCGCCUAAGGUAAUACCAAUGACUGGGGUGAAGUCGUAACAAGGUAGC